rnacentral:ncRNA from 2 species
UAACGUUCUCAGGGCGGGGUGCAAUUCCCCACCGGCGGUAAUGGCGGCUCCGGCCGCCUAGCCCGCGAGCGGCCCGGUUUCGGAGCGUGGUCAGGAAAGUGGUCGCCGGUUUUCCGGUUCGACCGCGCGACCAGCAAAGAGCCGGGUGUCAGCAGAUUGGGUGCGAUUCCCAGGCCGACGGUCACAGUCCGGAUGAAAGAGAAUGGGC